UACGUAGGGCGCAAGCGUUGUCCGGAAUUAUUGGGCGUAAAGAGCUCGUAGGCGGUCUGUCGCGUCUGGUGUGAAAUCCCAUGGCUCAACUGUGGGCUUGCAUCGGGUACGGGCAGACUAGAGUGCUGUAGGGGGAGACUGGAAUUCCUGGUGUAGCGGUGGAAUGCGCAGAUAUCAGGAGGAACACCGAUGGCGAAGGCAGGUCUCUGGGCAGUUACUGACGCUGAGGAGCGAAAGCAUGGGGAGCGAACAGG
rnacentral:rRNA from 1 species